UGUGGCAUGUGUUGUCAGCAGUUCAAUGUUUUGGAAAGUGGCGAUAUGAAGUCUGCUACGUUGACGAAGUUCUUUCGGGUGCUUGUACCAACCAGAUAAAUUGUGAACCCGGACUGCAACAGCUUAAGGACAAUGUUUAAGCCUUUUUGCGUAUUUCUUUAAUGGUAGACUUGAAAAUUAAACAUUGUGUUAGUCCAAAAUAGGGAUGGUGCCAUAAAAUAAUUUUUUCCCAGCAAGAACUCUAUUUCAUGACAGCGCGGGAGAAAAGCGAAACAUUUGUGCUGCCACAACAUCUUUUAUAUUUCUUUUACACAACACUACGGAAAAAAUACCCACUAGUAAAAUAAUGGUUUUCAGUACGUUGUGAAAUAAAAACAAACAACAGUCAUUUUGCAAGUUUACCUGUUACUGGAAAUUAGCCUGUCAUGGAGUUAGACUCAGUGACAUGAGCACAAUUUGUUAUAAAUUUCGAAUUUAAUACGAAUUACUCAACUUCACGUCAGCCUUUAUCAAAGCCUGUGAACACAUCCUUACCAAAUGAAUCCAUCACCACCGUGCAACCCCAACACCCAAUGUGGCUUUCAUUACAGUUGUUCCAUUGACGACCAGCUUCUUUCCUUAUUUGUCUCCCUCGAUAUCCAGAGGUGUAUGGCGUUCUGGGUUGCACUUUAAGCUGCAAAACUAUCUAGCUACUCAUGAUGCCCUGCAACCAUCCCAUGUCUCCCUUGAGUUCAAUUUCAGUCUCCUAGUUGAAUGGUGUAAUAUGUGAAAACUUCAAGUAAAUUCACAGAAAAACCAAGCCACCAAUUUUCGUCGCACAUUUGCAUCAUCCAGAUUUCCAUCUCUCCAUUUACAACCAACCCAGCCCUCUGAAUAACACAAUAAAAUAUUUAAAGACUAAUGCUAGACAGAAAACUAACCAGGACUGCACAACUCCAUACGAAAGAACACAAUCCGCCAAAUUGAUUAAAACCACUAACUAUAUAAAAUACUAACAGGCAGCACUUGGGAUCUACAUUGUUGUACCAUUAUCCUGCACUCUGCCUGACCAUCUGAUUUGCCUCCCAUAACUAACUAGCAUCCAUGCCAAAUCAUCCACUACCCUCUUUCUAUCUUCUUGGAACACCUUCAGAUCCACUAUAUUAAUCACAAAACCCAGUUUCGGCACCCAAUAUGCCACACACUAAUCACCAGUCCAGUUAACCUGCUGCACCAUCACAUUCAUAUUUCACCUUCCAUGCACCUUCAUGGCUUGUCCGUCCCCUCCUGGCAGAAUUUCAACCAACUUCCACUCCCCAACAAUGAAAGCCUCCCAAGAUAUAUAGCACUGUUUCCAACCCUAUUCACAAUGCUCACUGCAUACCAUGGUCCCAUAUUUCUCAUCCCCCCCCCCUUCCUCCACUGCACUGAGCAAUCUUAUCCACCUUCAUGGAGAAUAAAGAGAAAUCGAAAUAACAAUAAAGAGAAAGAAAAUAACGUAAAGUGAUGGCUGUGAGUUAGUGGCAAACUGUAUGGGAUGUUGUGAGGAGAUACUGUAUAUGUAACAAUGAAAUGGAUAAUUUUCAUAGAAAAUAAUGUGCUGUCAACCCACUUUUUGACAUCAAAAGAUGAGUAUAAGACUGGUCUGAACAUACAGUGUGCUGCUAAGCAUCAUGUUACUGGGGAUAUAUGCUCUUGCAAAACCUGUCGAAAUAUUAUGCCUACCCACUUUUGGGCACACUUACCAUUUAUAGAUUUGGGCAGCAUUUUGACUUCUUCACAGGCACAAAAUUUAGUAGCAAACUGCACGAAUUCCUACUUUAAAGUAGAUUGAGUUGCCCCUAACGUGCUGCCCACAAAAGUCAAGAAUCUGAGUUCAGACUAGUUUUGUAACAGCAUUUAGUUGCUCUUAUUUUGUUAAUAUCACAUGUACAAUAAUUACACAAAAUAUUUAAUUCAUUAUUCGUACUUUAUUUCAUUGAAAUUUAUAAUUCACUGCAGAGUUCUCAGUGCACAGAUGAUAGGACAUUCACUUAUUAUGGAAAUAUUUCAUUUAAAGGAAUGUUCGUGAAUUACGAUUCACACAAAAUGGAAUUUUCAGUGAGCAAGUAGCUAUUUAUUUCUAAAAUAACAUUACUCAUUUAAAAGCCCUCAUCCUCCACUUUCCAGCAUACAUUUUACUUUUCCCAAAAACUUUAUAUUUCAGAAGUUAUUUGAAUUCAAAAUUUUUGCUGCUUAUAUAGUGAUUAUUUCCAAAAUUCAAUGCCAUAGUUUUGUAUCCAAGAUUUUUAUGAUUACAAUAACACCUACAUCCAAUAGAAUUACUGUUAAUUUGUUAAUUAUUCCAUUUGGAAAACUUCACCUACUCGAAACUUUUUGACAUCUCAACAUGAAAUCUACAUUCUAGCAGUGAUCAUAAGGAUUUUAUGUCGUCAAGAAGAACUUUCACUCACUGUCAGGACACUCACAACUCAUCCCUAAAGGUAUAUGCGUAGGGACAGCCUAACCAGUCCAGGAAGGGCAGCUUAAUACCAUUGAUGAAGAAUUGUGCUCCAUUACCAUUACAGGCAAUGCAGGGGAAAAAGCUAUUAUCAAACAGCCAUUAGGAUCCGACAUACCUGAGGAACAAUGUCAACGAGUGUUAGCUAUUCUGUGCCACUUUCCAGAUGCUGUCAAAUUUGGUGUGGAAAAACUACAGACCAUAUCAACACCGGGGAAAAUUGACCAAUUCACCAGCACUCAUACUAGGUGCUGCUGGCUGAAGAAUGGAUAAUCGAGGAAGAAGUGGAGAAGAUCUGCAAGACAACAUUGUUGAACAUACUGAGAGUCCUUGGUUGUCUCCUGUGGUGAUUGUGAAAAAGGAUGAUGGCACUUGGCAUUUCUGCAUCAACUACUGAUGACUGAACAAAGUCACGUAAAAAGGUGUUUACCCAUUGCUGCACAUGAUGACACCCUUGACUGCGUAACAGAAGCAAAGUAUUUCUCAAUGAUGGAAAUGCAGAUACACUGUUGGCAAAUUGAGGCUGGCAGGGAUGACUGUGAAAAGACUGUCUUCAUAACUCCUGACAGCCUCUAUGAGUUCAAACUCCAGCCACCUUUGAACUUGUAACGGACAACCUGCUUUAGUACCUUAAAUGAAUGACUUUUCACUAUAUGGAUGGCUCUGGUGUCUUUUUGAAGACAUUUGAAGAACAUCUAAGCCACCUUGAAAACCUUAUUGAAGUGAGUUCAGGCUCCUGGCCUUUGCCUGAAUCUGUAAAACCUUCACUUUACUAUUCAAGAAAUAAAAGUCUGGGUCAUAAAGUGAGUCCAUCCUGAUCCAGGAAAAAUAAGAGCAUUUACAGUUUUAUGACUCCUCGAUGCAUUCAUGAUGUAAGUAGUUUUCUUGGGAUUGGAAUGUGCUCAUACUACUGAUGAUACAUAAAGGACUUCUGUACCAAGGCAACCCCUUGCAAGAACUACUGCAAUAAGAUGAGGUGUAAGAAAGUUCUUCCCUUUUCCUUAAGGAGGUGCUAACAUCAUCUCCACUCCUAGCUUUGUAUGAUGAGAAUGGAGAGGGAAAACUUCACACUGGCACUACAAGUUAUGGGAUAGGUGCAGUUUAGUACAACUCUAGGAAGGUGCUCAAAAGGUGAUAGCUUACACUUCCAGAGUACUAUUCAAGUGUGAUAUGAACUACUCUACAACCAAGAAAGAGUGCCUUGCAGUUGUUUGGGCAGUCAACAACCUGUAACCAUAUUUAUUUGGCCAUCCAGUCACUUCUGUGAUGGAUCACCAGUCUUUGUGCUGACUGGCCUACUUGAAGGGUCCUUUGAGUUAACUGCUGAGAUUGGCACUGAAACUUCAGGAAUACAUCUUCACAAUGGGAUACAAAAAUGGAUGCAAACACUAGGAUGCCAAUUGUUGUUGAAAAAAUCCUGUGUUGAAGCAGAAUAACAUGGACAAAAUCUUAGCCAUUGCUGAUGAACAAAGGAAAGAUCAAGCAUUCUUGAAAAUCAUACAAGCCUUGGAGAAUAAAGAAACAACAAAAAAGAAUUCCAAUUGAUAAACAGAACAUUGUGUAAGAGGAGUGGAUGAGUGGAAAUUGUUGCUCAUCUCCCAGCUCAUUUAUGGGCAGCUGUCCUGAAGUAUUUCCAUGAUGCUCCUCACCUGGGAUUCACAAGGACUCUAGACAGAACAAGAUGCAGGUCUCUACCAGUCCAUUACGGCACUAUGUGGCACUCUGUAAGAAAUGCCGGUGAUGGAAGCACAUGCUGCAGUUACCUCCAGGGCAUGUGGUUCCAAUUCAUCCUGCAGCUGUGUCAUUCCAUCGAAUUGGAAUCAACCUCUUCGGGUAGUCCCUGAAGUCAACAAAUGGAGUCUGAACAGAUUACCUCACCUGCUAUGCUGUUACCAAACCUGUGACAACACCAAAGCUCCACAAAUUAUGAAGUUCUUUGUAGAAAACAUCAUUUUGGAGCACAGAGCACCCUGGGUGAUGAUCUCUGAUCACAAAACAGUUUACCAGCUGAGACUAGUAUCAGAGGUAAUUGCAUGUUGUGACAUCAGACACUGGAUGAUGACAAUUACCCACAGAUGAAUGAUCACAUAGACAUUAACAGAUAUGCUACUGGUGUGCAUUGAUGUCAAACAGAGUAGAAUGCAAUAAUGCAUAUCAUGGCAUUCUCAAACAACAAAGCAAAGCAAGACAUACAGGCUUCACACCAUUCUUUCUACCCCAUAGUUGAGAGGCUGAAAAAACAGUGGGUACAUUGAUCCAAUUUCGACUGGAUGAUACUCUUGUUCACUAUGUGAAACAGUUCUUCAGCAGGACCAAAGAAGCAAGACAGCUGGCUUAGAUACAGACCCUUGAUACCCAGGGGAAAGACAGAAAGUAUAAUAAUGCCAAGUACUGGCCGGUGAGAUAGAGCUUGGGAGACUUGGUAUGAAGUUUUGCACCCAUUCAGAAAGUGGGACUAUUGGAAAAGUUACGAAAGCACUACUUUGAGCCUUAUUGCAUCCUUUGUUGCUUGUCAGAUAUCGGUUGAGUUGAGGAUUAUGACACUUUGUCAAGAAGACAGAAUUGCAUAGACAUUUCCUAUGUCCACCGUGCGAAGCCCUACUACAAACCUGAGAUGUAGAUCAAUGACGGGGGCUUCUCGCUCAAGGAAACAGAAGACCCACUUGACCACUGUGUAGCUUCAGUAGUUGCAGUUACCAUCAAUGCUCGUCAUAGUGAAGAGGAAGUGAUAACAUGACCAGAACACAAGGAUCUGCCAGUGCUGCCAUACAGAAGACCAUUUACAAUAUCUAGAUCCAGAGUGCUGUAGUGAUCUCCAGUGAGAAGUUCUGGAACAGUAGGUCACUGUUUCUGUGGGAGAGGGAGCAUGGCAUGAGCUGUAAUGCAUGCAGUGUGGCACAGCGAUUAGUGCUGCUGGCUGACAUGCUAUGGGUUACUUGCUCAAAUCCAACCAUCUGCAUUUAUUGGCGAUUUAGUAUUUAUCAUUCCUGGAAGGUUCUCAAAAUUUAUAUUUGUAUAUUCUGGAAUAUUUGAUGUUAUAUAAAUAACUGCACUCUGUAUCCAGGAGAUAAGUUAUUUUGUGGCUGUAUGUUGGAGUUCAUAAUAAAUAUACUUUCAGUUUUAA